ACAGAGUAGGUGUGAGGUCAGACAGUACUAAGUGCUCCCUCUCUGGAUUUGGCUCACAGGAACAGACCAAUGAUUUGGAGGACUGGAGCUCUGAGACAAGCUCUUGUGUCCUCUAGUCAGCUGGGAAAAGGAGGGAGGGCGGACGAGGAGGGAGAGAAGGGAAGGAGGCUAGGAGGGAGGGCGGUAGUUACAAAUGCCUAACUCACUAAAACUAUCUAUCUACACUAUCUAACUCACUAAAACUCUGACCAUGCUUUUAGAGAAAUGUCAGAUCUGCUCUGUGGAGGAGAGAAGUAUUAAACAGAGGUAAACAGCUUAAGGUAAAUAUCCUUAGGCACAGAUCUAGGAUCAACUCUGAUAUCUAACAAAAACUGACCUCAGAUCAGUGUCUAGAAGCAAUGUCUUCCUACUUUGAGAUCUCAUCUGUCUCAGCAUCUUUCUCUGGAUUACUGGACAACUAUAACUAACCCUGGGUUUGCCGGUGUUAACCCUUAGACAACUAUUACUAACCUUGGGUUCGUUGGUGUUAACCCCUGGACAACUAUAACUAACCCUGGGUUCGCUGGUGUUAACCCCUGGACAGCAUGGCUGCUGUGGGAAAGAGAUGAUGAUUGACUAUGAGUGUCCCUCUCCAUUAGCCUGUGUGCCGGCUGGGAGGAGUGUGUGUGAGAGUGUGUUAGCACCACACACACACACACACGCAGCACACACACACACUCUAACGGCCAUGCCCCAGAGAUACUCCUACCAGAAGAGGAAAGCCAGCACGGCAGCAGCUCGGAGGAUGGAGAGGCGAGGCAGGGACUCUGGGAAGACCAACAACACCAACACUUGCCACAGCCACCGCUCCAAGAAGCUAGCCAUGCUCUCCAGGUCCCUGAUCCUCUGUCACUCCAGAGCCAGUGAUGACUGCCCCAGCCCCGAAGAGAGACCGCCAGGGGAGGCCUGGAAGGGAGACGGGGGCUUGGGGAGAGAUGGGAAGGGAAACAGGGAGGUGGAGAGGUCCCGGAAGAAGAUCCAGGAAGGACCCCAGGAGAGUGGAGGAACUAUGCAGGCAUCUACACAGCCACCCGUAGGGGCCACCAACACACUCAGGGCUACAGGAGAACACAAGAGGAAUAUGAGGAGGUCCUUCAGUAUCAAGGUAUGAAUGGGGGUUAUUUGCUUAUCACAUUAUGGCGUUUUGUUUGGACAUUUCAAUGAUAUAUUACAUCAUAAUGUGGCGCUAAGCCAACAGGGUUUCUGUUUGCAAAGUGGCAUUAACUAUGUAUGUCUCCUGGUCCUGAAUUAUGACUGUUAUGCACUAAGUGCUGUCUUUGCAUUGGCUGUUUUUAUCAAUGCAUUUGUAGAAAUAAUGUGAAAAGAUUUUUUAUGCACAUAAUAAUUGUUAAUGCACAUCAAACACAGUAUUACUUAACUAGGAGAACUAUGAUAAGAAGUCUUAAUGAAUCUGGAAAAACAAUAAAUGUAUGUCAGUYCCCCAGGCAGUGUAUUGGUCAGACAUGUAGAUCCUUUCUCAGCUGACAGCUAGGCAUCAAGAUGGAUUAGCAUACCGUGUUCAUACCGUACAUGUUGAGUGUUCAGGCUGUCACUGCUACUCCAAGAGGAAACAAGCUAAACACUCCGGCCUUCAAAAGCAUAUGACUUCCUUCUUGUUAUGUGUGGUGGGUAGAGAGUGUUAGUUGCUCAAAAGGGGUCUGAUACUCACUUGAAACACGGAACACGGACAUUCUCAAAAAUCAUGAAUUGAAGGCAAUGGGAAUUGUGAGGGGGAAAUGAAUGAUGCAUGUCGAUCUCAAGUUAGCUUCCGUCUCAAUAUGAAAAGCAUUUAGGAGAAAAAAUAUACAACACAGUAUUGUAUCUGAAGUUGAGUCCAGAGUAUGAAGAACUCUGGUCUGCCCAUAAUGUAGUCUGGAAUGUGUUCCUCUAGACAUCUCUGUCUGGACUGUGUUUCUUGUCAAAUGCAUAACAGCAAUCACAUGGCCUGUGUGUCAUAGGGCUGAGUGCUGCUGUUGGGCCUGUUUACCUCACACACAAGACAGUAUUUGUUGUGAACCAGGGAGGGAGAGAGGCAUUAGGCCAUAGUGGAAGUAGAGACAUGUUAACUUGCUAACACAAGGCUAUGAGGACAUGGCACUGAUGUCAUAGAGCCUCGGGACAAUGUGGCCAUGUUCAAAUAAUGAAUAAAUGCACCCUUCGUUCCUUCAUCCCUCCCCUAUUUGAGGUUAUGACUGGUCUGUUAGUCUUCCUCCUAGCUAUGUGUUAGAAGAUAAAAGCCUCACGUCUGUCAGUAGCUGUGAACUCACCUGGCUGAUUCUAUUCAGGCCAACCUUCAGCCAGAUUGAUGUCAGGAAGUAGAGUUCUGUAGCAGACUGAUUCUAUUCAGGCCAACCUUCAGUCAGAUUAUGUCAGGAAGUAGUGUUCCGUAGCAGACUGAUUCUAUUCAGGCCAACCUUCAGUCAGAUUGAUGUCAGGAAGUAGUGUUCCAUAGCAGACUGAUUCUGUUCAGGCCAACCUUCAGUCAGAUUGAUGUCGAAGUAGUGUUCUGUGCAGACUGAUUCUGUUCAGGUCAACCUUCAGUCAGAUUGAUGUCUGGAAGUAGUGUUCUGUAGCAGACUGAUUCUGUUCAGGCCAUCUUCAGUCAGAUUGAUGUCAGGAAGUAGAGUUCUGUAGCAGACUGAUUCUGUUCAGGCCAACCUUCAGUCAGAUUGAUGUCAGGAAGUAGUGUUCUG
rnacentral:lncRNA from 1 species